rnacentral:piRNA from 1 species
UGGCAAGUGUCACCUGGCAUCCAACGGUGU